rnacentral:pre_miRNA from 1 species
AAAAAACGUAGUUUUGUGUUUUUUCUAACAUUUGAUUCGUCUUAUUUGAAAAAAAUUAUGAUCGAUAAUUUUGUUGUUAUGAGAUGAUAAAACAUAAAUAGUACUUUAAGUUUAACUACAUUUUUAAUCUUUUCAUAAAAUUUUUAAAUAAAACGAAGAAUCAAACGUUAAAUAUGAAAUCCACUUAAA